rnacentral:rRNA from 1 species
UAGGGAAUCUUCGGCAAUGGACGAAAGUCUGACCGAGCAACGCCGCGUGAGUGAAGAAGGUUUUCGGAUCAUAAAACUCUGUUGUUAGAGAAGAACGACGAGGAGAGUGGGAAGCUCCUUGUGUGACGGUAUCUAACCAGAAAGGGACGGCUAACUACGUGCCAC